GUGCUCGCUUUGGCGGCACAUCUACUAAAACUGGAACGAUACAGAGAAGAUUAGCAUGGCUCCCGCGCGGGGAUGGAAUAAGUCUAUAUUGCAAGGUGAUUACUACAGUA
ensembl:snRNA U6 U6 spliceosomal RNA